AUGCGAUGCAGGAUAACCGCAAAUAGACGUACAACUUUACUGCAUUUAAAAUCUGCUGAAUCGAUUCACAAAUCUUUUUAUUUGUGCACCUCGAAUGAAAACUGUAGCCGUUUGGUGAUUAAAACCAGCGCACACACCUCCAAAUCGCGCGGCUGCCCGGUGCCUGGAUGGAGACACCAGCUCCUUGACAAUCUGCAGAACCUGCAUGCUUAUCCAGUGGGAGGAGCCAUGAGGCUCCCCUCAGCCUCAUCGCUCAUCAGCUGGCCCGCAGCAUGACUCCUCCAGGACGCUGGUUUCCAGUGAAAUCAAGAUUCUGCUCCUGCUUCCUGCUUGUUGGGCGUCUUCAGUAUUUCCUCCACUAACCGGCUGUCAUGCUGCUUCACCUGCGUUGAGCGGCGCCUCGGGGCGACAGGAAGCAGCAGCGCGGCAAUGCCCUCUCCGCUGCCGGCCGCCACGGCGCAGCGCCCUCGUCAUGCCGUGUGCGAUCCGGAGCGGAGCCGUCCUCCGCCGGCUUGUUUCCGUCCCCGGCUGGAUGCUGCAGAUCAAAAGGUCCUGAGUGGUGGAACUUCCCACUGCAGCUGGCUCCUUGAUCCGCUCUUCACAUCCUGCAGAUCCUAAUUAACGAGCCUCCAGCUCUUCCCUCCUCUCCUCUCAUCGCGUUCUGCUGUGGAGCGGAAACAUGAGCAGAAUGCAGACGGCUGAGCGAGCACAGAUGAUUUGUACCACCCAGACGAUGACAUGAACAUCAGCGGUACCAAGAAUCCAGAUCCGCGUUGCAUUCAGCCAGAACUGAAACCUCUUUCAGGACCAACUCGCUCUGACUCUAAUAAUUACAACACCAGCUUCAGGUCUACAAGCCGCAGCUUGUCCAACGUGUCCACACUGAGGACGGAUGGAUCAAACUUUCUGAGGACAGCAGAUAAAAACACGGCCGAGGCGCUUGGCUCACCAUGGCAACCAAAUACAGAGCGACCAUGAACGGCUUGAGGCGAGGAAACGCGUCUCUGUUUGUGUGAAGGAAACAAGCUGCAGCUCCAAUCUGAGGUGUUUUUAUUAUCUGUAGCAAAGUUUCAUCUUUUAUUCAAACAUCUGCAGCUAAAUUACCUUCAGUUUAGAGUCCCUGAAUCUGCAGCUUUUAUCAGCUGUAAUAAAAGCUCAACUUGAUCCUUUUAUGGCCUGAUAACACCUUUGUUCCCAUCAGUCCACAGAAACCGAGACCAACACUGAAGGUCUGCUGGAGAUUUAGCAAAUUCAGGCCACAGAAAGCCUCCAAACAUUCAGCGUUUGGAGGCUUCUUUCACUCUUCCUUUCUUUAAAAACUGCAUCAGAUGUAGAGAAAAUUCAAACACUCAACAGAUUCUGACGGAAAUAAUCCUGAAUCCAAACGUUUCCAGUUUAAAAGCUUCUAAAUUCCCAAAGUUAGGAUGAUGGAUCAACAAGUGGAGAAUAGAA